rnacentral:rRNA from 1 species
AUACGGGGGGUGCAAGCGUUAAUCGGAAUUACUGGGCGUAAAGCGUACGUAGGCGGUUCGUUAAGUUAGAUGUGAAAGCCCCGGGCUUAACCUGGGAACUGCAUUUAAAACUGGCGUACUAGAGUUGAGUAGAGGGGAGUGGAAUUUCAGGUGUAGCGGUGAAAUGCGUAGAGAUCUGAAGGAACACCAGUGGCGAAGGCGACUCCCUGGACUCGAACUGACGCUGAGGUACGAAAGCGUGGGUAGCAAACGGGAUUAGAAACCCUAGUAGUCC